CUCAAGAUGACCUAAGAAACCUAUGAGAGACACCCUUUGCACCUGCACAUUACAUGGGGAUACUUAGUGGUACUAACAAGAGAGUUUCGAAAUUUUUCGAAGGUUUUUCCGGAAUUAUCCAGAGGUUCAGAGUUUCUGGAGAGUUUCCGGAGGUCUAGAUUUUUCUAGAAAGUUUUCUGGAAAAUUCUGGAGGUUCCAGAAGUUUCCGAAGAAAGCUCCAAAAAUUUCUGGAACUUAACCCCUAACGGCUAGUUUAAGGGUGAAGGGUUAUAAAUACCCCCUCCCUUUCAAUCUC
rnacentral:lncRNA from 1 species